rnacentral:lncRNA from 1 species
AUGUUACACAGUUUUUGUAGUAGGACAGCAACUAUGAAUUUUACUGAUGACAGCCAAAGAGUCAGAACAAGACAAGAAAGAAUUAUGACUGGGCCUGCUCAAGAAGAGGAAAGACUGACUAUUCUUACCUCUGUGAGGGAUGAAUACUACAUCUGCCAGGUAAAUUAGAUAUUGUAUAAACAGCACUAUCACCAUCUUGCCAUUAUGUUUUGUACAGCUUCUGAGAAUACAAAAAUAAUCAAAGCAGACCCUAGGGGUAAGAUAGGCUGAUACGCACCUAGUUUCAAAUUCUGGCUGGUGUGUGUAGAAUGGCUGCAAAGGUCCUGUGUGCCUUCAGAAUAUGGGUACCUAUGCUCAUAGCUGGUAGGGAAG